AUUUCUUCUCAGAAGGAGAGAUGAGAUAUUGGAAUGGGCAGCCCACAGAGGUGGUGAAGUCACUGUCCCUGGAGGUGUUCAAGAAAAGGGUAAAUGUGUCACUGAGGGACAUGGUUUAAUGGGCACGGUGGAGAUGGGUUGAUAGUUGGACUAGAUGGUCUUAGUGGUAUUUCCAACCUUUAAGAUUCUAUGUUAGUAGCAGGUCUUACUUCACUGUCUUGCAGUCACGUGGAAGAUGAGCAAGCUGUCUUCAUAUUGCAUGGGCUUACAGGGCACAUUUGCACAGCAGCUCACUUAUUUGCAAUAAACCUCUUCUGAAGAUGAGUAUCUUUGCCCUUUGAAGAUAUUUGUCUCCCUUCACUGACCAAGAGGUUCCCUGGACAUCUGGUUUGAACUACACAGCCAGUCUUUAGAUGACAAAUGGAAAGGAAAGGAACCACUCCCACACACUGUGGAUGUGUCUGAACAUGCUGUCUUUGCCACGCAAGGAUUAAUUCACAAGGACUUGAAAUUGUAUCAGAACUGGUUUUCGGCCAAACAGCCAACCAUUAUUAACGACUUCGAGUCAUUGAAAUCCAACAUGGAUGUGUCCCGGAUUUCUGGUGCCUGGGAUAUUUUCCAGAUCAAAUUAGUGGUUUCUGUGUGAUGCGAAAAACUGAAGGUUUGUGUGAGUUGCUGUGUGCAAUACAUAUUCUUUUCUGUACAUUUCUGAUGCAUCUAUGGUACUGUAUCUUUUAAUCUUUCUCAGUGAUAUUGCUUUUGAUUUUCAGGUAACUUGGGCCAAAACUCAUCAGUCAGAUUUUAUCGUCCUCUUAUGCUCCCUCUAACUCUUCUCAGAGUAAAGAUUUCAAAAGCAAUUUAGAAAUUCUGUCAACAUCUACGAGAGAGCCAGGAGUAGGAAAAUUAUAUCUUUCUGUACUUCUCCUUAGGACAGAGUAGAGUAAAGGAGAAAGCGUUUUCUGAAAAGGGAUUCUUUUUGACCAGAAAUUUGAGUAAAUUUCUUGUCUCUUACAAGAUACAAGUGGAUCUAAGAAAGUCACACUGUUUAUCGUCAGAUCUAUUGGUGUAUAGAUUUGAAUAGACUCUAAAUGUUUCUUCAACCCACCUUCCCAAAGAAAGUAGGCUGUCUCUGUAUUCAAACUACAAAGAGUGUAUAAUCUUUGAAAAAAGAUUGAAAGCAUCUUCCUACUGUGAUAUUUUUGUGUAGAAAGCUGACUGCUGUGGGGCUGAGUUUGUGUUGGAAAAAAUGUCAUUUUCAAAGAAGAUAAAAUUCAGACUUUUACUUUCAAUAAUUAGAACGGUGAACUCUUUGAAAUUAUGCUUCUUAUUUCACGUCUUCAACAAGGCUGACCAGCAAAUGGUUCUGUAAACAAA
rnacentral:lncRNA from 1 species